rnacentral:rRNA from 1 species
GUCUACGGCCAUACCACCUGAACGUGCCCAAUCUCGCCUGAUCUUGGAAGCUCAGCAGGGUCAGGCCUGCUUAGUACUUGGAUGGGAGAACACACGAGGCUCACACACGCUGCUGCCC